rnacentral:lncRNA from 12 species
AUCUCUUGUCGCUCCGCGCGUGAACUUUCCGUGCACCGGGAAUCUAUUCCUCUCAAUCUAAAGGGAAUCCGCGGUCUGGACGCUGCCGAGCAGGGCUGCUGUCUCCUGAGGUAUUGCCCCAUUACCUGAGGGUAUCGGUGAGCUUUCCGGACAGACGAUUAGUGGCAUUAGUCUCGUGGCACGGCGGAUCUUACAUGGGCUCAGGGAUAUCAGAGAAGUUUCCUGCAUGGCUUAAUGAGAUUUUCCCACUCAUCUUCCUCUGGGGCGGCAAACUGUAAGAUAUAUUGAGACCAACGAUAGGAAGACAAGACAAGAGAAGAGAAGAGAACAGGGCCAGAAGACAACAGAAUCUGGACUCAAAUUCACCUCGAGACGUCUCCACCUGAGCUCUAUGUUAAUGCACCAAAUUGCUUCAAUCCUUUACAACACAACC